rnacentral:rRNA from 1 species
GACGGAGGAGGCUAGCGUUGUUCGGAAUUACUGGGCGUAAAGCGCACGCAGGCGGCUGGACCAGUCGGAUGUGAAAGCCCGGGGCUCAACCCCGGAUGUGCAUCCGAUACUGUCCGGCUGGAGUCCGGGAGAGGAGAGCGGAAUUCCCAGUGUAGAGGUGAAAUUCGUAGAUAUUGGGAAGAACACCGGUGGCGAAGGCGGCUCUCUGGUCCGGAACUGACGCUCAAGUGCGAAAGCGUGGGGAGCAAACAGG